GACGAACGCUGGCGGCGUGCCUAACACAUGCAAGUCGAACGGAAAGACCCUGCUUUUUUGGGGUGCUCGAGUGGCGAACGGGUGAGUAACACGUGAGUAACCUGUCCUUGACUUUGGGAUAACUUCAGGACAGUGGGGCUCAUACCGGAUAGGAGCUCCUGCUGCAAGGUGGGGGUUGGAUAGUUUCGGCGGUUGGGGAUGUACUCGCGGCGUAUCAGCUUGUUGGAGUGGUAGUGGCUUACCAUGGCUUGGCGGGGUAGCCGGGCUGGGAGGGUAACCGGACCCACUAGGACGGAACUGCGGCACAGACCACAACGGGACGCAGCAGAGCAGAAGAUUGCACAAGGGGCGGAAGCCUGGUGCAGCAAAGCAGCGUGGGGGAUGUCGGGCAUCGGGUAGUAAACCGAUUUCGCCUGUGACGAGACGUGAGUGACGGUAAUGGGUAAAGAAGCUCCGGCUAACUACGUG
rnacentral:rRNA from 1 species